rnacentral:tRNA from 1 species
GAAGGUAUAGCUCAGUGGUAGAGCACAUGCUUAGCAUGCAUAAAGUCCUGGUUCCUGGGUUCAAUCCCUAGUACCUCCA